UACAGAGGGGGCUAGCGUUGUUCGGAAUUACUGGGCGUAAAGGGCGCGUAGGCGGCCCGCUAAGUCAGACGUGAAAUCCCUCGGCUUAACCGGGGAACUGCAUCUGAUACUGGAUGGCUUGAGAUUGGGAGAGGGAUGCGGAAUUCCAGGUGUAGCGGUGAAAUGCGUAGAUAUCUGGAGGAACACCGGUGGCGAAGGCGGCAUCCUGGACCAACACUGACGCUGAGGAGCGAAAGCCAGGGGAGCAAACGGG
rnacentral:rRNA from 1 species